rnacentral:rRNA from 1 species
UACGUAGGGGGCUAGCGUUGUCCGGAAUCAUUGGGCGUAAAGGGCGCGUAGGCGGCCCGCUAAGUCGAACGUGAAAUCCCCAGGCUCAACCUGGGAACUGCGUCCGAUACUGGCAGGCUUGAAUCCGGGAGAGGGAUGUGGAAUUCCAGGUGUAGCGGUGGAAUGCGCAGAUAUCAGGAGGAACAGCCGGUGGCGAAGGCGGGAUCCUGGGCCAGUACUGACGCUGAGGAGCGAAAGCGUGGGGAGCAA